AUUAAUCUUAACCACUUUAACCUCCCUUGUAGCCCACCACCCAGCAGAGGUAGCCGAAAAGAAAGGAUAGGGGGGCGAGGGGGAUAGGGGGCUAUUUAGAAAUGGUUCUUUGGAGCAACUCCCAUCUGUGUAGUCUGGAAAUCAACAGUUCAGUUCAUAGGUUAGAUAUGGUAGCUCGAUCCACUCUCGGACACAUCACGGAUUCACCAGCAGUCCAGUUUGGUAGAGUUAGAAUAGCAAAUUCAAAUCAGCAGCCAUGGCAUGACCUCACAGAGACAGCCAGGCCUCAGCCUCAGUACAAGUCAGCAGGAGGGACCAGCAGGAGCACCAGGAGUUCUCGGCCAUGCCUCUGUCAGCAAACGAGGUCAGGGACCAUCACUGUAUAGCUGGCUCUAUAAGUAAGCCAAGCUCAGCCUCCAUCACUGUCCAUCCAGUUCUUUUUAGAGUCCUAUUUAUAUCCUCCAGACGUCACUCAUCCUCCACGGCUCUUGCCCGACAUGUGCAUCUGUCUCAGCUGACAUCACUCUGCCAAUCAGUCAGGAAGCUGAGGCACACCACCAGGAGUUUCUUAAUGCGUUUCUCUCGGUGGAGUCCUGACGAAUGCAGCUCAACUACACAAUGUAAGGCGAACCAAUACAUGCGUGCCAUUAGUGAGGAAUCCUUCAUCACGUGUCCUUUCACAUGUUUGCUUCAGCAGGACAUCCUCUCUCCUGUGUCUGCUUCAGUGAAAUGUUCCUCCUUGAGUC
rnacentral:lncRNA from 1 species